AUUGAACGCUAGCGGGGUGCUUUACACAUGCAAGUCGAACGGCAGCGCGGACUUCGGUCUGGCGGCGAGUGGCGAACGGGUGAGUAAUGUAUCGGAACGUGCCCAGUAGCGGGGGAUAACUACGCGAAAGCGUAGCUAAUACCGCAUACGCCCUACGGGGGAAAGCAGGGGAUCGUAAGACCUUGCACUAUUGGAGCGGCCGAUAUCGGAUUAGCUAGUUGGUGAGGUAACGGCUCACCAAGGCGACGAUCCGUAGCUGGUUUGAGAGGACGACCAGCCACACUGGGACUGAGACACGGCCCAGACUCCUACGGGAGGCAGCAGUGGGGAAUUUUGGACAAUGGGGGCAACCCUGAUCCAGCCAUCCCGCGUGUGCGAUGAAGGCCUUCGGGUUGUAAAGCACUUUUGGCAGGAAAGAAACGUCGCGGGCUAAUACCCCGUGGAACUGACGGUACCUGCAGAAUAAGCACCGGCUAACUACGUG
rnacentral:rRNA from 1 species